AUAUCAAUAAGCGGAGGAAAAGAAACCAACAGGGAUUGCCCCAGUAACGGCGAGUGAAGCGGCAACAGCUCAAAUUUGAAAUCUGGCCCCCAGGUCCGAGUUGUAAUUUGUAGAGGAUGCUUUUGGCGCGGCGCCUUCCGAGUUCCCUGGAACGGGACGCCAUAGAGGGUGAGAGCCCCGUCUGGUCGGACGCCUAGCCUCUGUAAAGCUCCUUCGAAGAGUCGAGUAGUUUGGGAAUGCUGCUCAAAAUGGGAGGUAUAUGUCUUCUAAAGCUAAAUAUUGGCCAGAGACCGAUAGCGCACAAGUAGAGUGAUCGAAAGAUGAAAAGCACUUUGAAAAGAGGGUUAAAAAGUACGUGAAAUUGUUGAAAGGGAAGCGCCCAUGACCAGACUUGGGCCCGGUGAAUCACCCAGCGUUCUCGCUGGUGCACUUUGCCGGGCACAGGCCAGCAUCGGUCUGCCGCGGGGGAUAAAGGCGGCGGGAAUGUGGCUCCCUCGGGAGUGUUAUAGCCCGCCGCGCAAUACCCUGGGGCGGACCGAGGUACGCGCUGCAAGGAUGCUGGCGUAAUGGUCAUCAGCGACCCGUCUUGAAACACGGACCAAGGAGUCGUCUUCGUAUGCGAGUGUUCGGGUGUCAAACCCCUACGCGUAAUGAAAGUGAACGCAGGUGAGAGCUACGGCGCAUCAUCGACCGAUCCUGAUGUUCUCGGAUGGAUUUGAGUAAGAGCAUACGGGGCCGGACCCGAAAGAAGGUGAACUAUGCCUGUAUAGGGUGAAGCCAGAGGAAACUCUGGUGGAGGCUCGCAGCGGUUCUGACGUGCGAAUCGAUCGUCAAAUAUGGGCAUGGGGGCGAAAGACUAAUCGAACCUUCUAGUAGCUGGUUUCCG
rnacentral:rRNA from 1 species